GGUUAAGCGACUAAGCGUACACGGUGGAUGCCCUGGCAGUCAGAGGCGAUGAAGGGCGUGCUAAUCUGCGAUAAGCGCCGGUAAGGUGAUAUGAACCGUUAUAACCGGCGAUACCCGAAUGGGGAAACCCAGUGUGACUCGUCACACUAUCAUUAACUGAAUCCAUAGGUUAAUGAGGCGAACCGGGGGAACUGAAACAUCUAAGUACCCCGAGGAAAAGAAAUCAACCGAGAUUCCCCCAGUAGCGGCGAGCGAACGGGGAGGAGCCCAGAGCCUGAAUCAGCAUGUGUGUUAGUGGAAGCGUCUGGAAAGGCGCGCGAUACAGGGUGACAGCCCCGUACACAAAAGCGCAUGUGCUGUGAGCUCGAUGAGUAGGGCGGGACACGUGGUAUCCUGUCUGAAUAUGGGGGGACCAUCCUCCAAGGCUAAAUACUCCUGACUGACCGAUAGUGAACCAGUACCGUGAGGGAAAGGCGAAAAGAACCCCGGCGAGGGGAGUGAAAAAGAACCUGAAACCGUGUACGUACAAGCAGUGGGAGCACAGGUUUACCUGUGUGACUGCGUACCUUUUGUAUAAUGGGUCAGCGACUUAUAUUCUGUAGCAAGGUUAACCGAAUAGGGGAGCCGGAGGGAAACCGAGUCUUAAUUGGGCGUUAAGUUGCAGGGUAUAGACCCGAAACCCGGUGAUCUAGCCAUGGGCAGGUUGAAGGUUGGGUAACACUAACUGGAGGACCGAACCGACUAAUGUUGAAAAAUUAGCGGAUGACCUGUGGCUGGGGGUGAAAGGCCAAUCAAACCGGGAGAUAGCUGGUUCUCCCCGAAAGCUAUUUAGGUAGCGCCUCGUGAAUUCAUCUCCGGGGGUAGAGCACUGUUUCGGCUAGGGGGCCAUCCCGGCUUACCAACCCGAUGCAAACUGCGAAUACCGGAGAAUGUUAUCACGGGAGACACACGGCGGGUGCUAACGUCCGUCGUGAAGAGGGAAACAACCCAGACCGCCAGCUAAGGUCCCAAAGUCAUGGUUAAGUGGGAAACGAUGUGGGAAGGCCCAGACAGCCAGGAUGUUGGCUUAGAAGCAGCCAUCAUUUAAAGAAAGCGUAAUAGCUCACUGGUCGAGUCGGCCUGCGCGGAAGAUGUAACGGGGCUAAACCAUGCACCGAAGCUGCGGCAGCGAACGUAUCACCCAAGACAACUUUGCGGAGUUGACGAUUGACGGAGCGAAGCGACGUCAAAGCGUUCAUUAAAGUCGAGUUGGCUUAGGGAUACGUUCGUUGGGUAGGGGAGCGUUCUGUAAGCCAGUGAAGGUGUGUCGUGAGGCAUGCUGGAGGUAUCAGAAGUGCGAAUGCUGACAUAAGUAACGAUAAAGCGGGUGAAAAGCCCGCUCGCCGGAAGACCAAGGGUUCCUGUCCAACGUUAAUCGGGGCAGGGUGAGUCGACCCCUAAGGCGAGGCCGAAAGGCGUAGUCGAUGGGAAACGGGUUAAUAUUCCCGUACUUGGUGUUACUGCGAAGGGGGGACGGAGAAGGCUAUGUUGGCCGGGCGACGGUUGUCCCGGUUUAAGCGUGUAGGUGUGUGUUCCAGGUAAAUCCGGUUCACUUUAACACUGAGGCGUGAUGACGAGGCACUACGGUGCUGAAGCAACAAAUGCCCUGCUUCCAGGAAAAGCCUCUAAGCAUCAGGUAACAUCAAAUCGUACCCCAAACCGACACAGGUGGUCAGGUAGAGAAUACCAAGGCGCUUGAGAGAACUCGGGUGAAGGAACUAGGCAAAAUGGUGCCGUAACUUCGGGAGAAGGCACGCUGACACGUAGGUGAAGUGAUUUACUCACGGAGCUGAAGUCAGUCGAAGAUACCAGCUGGCUGCAACUGUUUAUUAAAAACACAGCACUGUGCAAACACGAAAGUGGACGUAUACGGUGUGACGCCUGCCCGGUGCCGGAAGGUUAAUUGAUGGGGUCAGCGCAAGCGAAGCUCCUGAUCGAAGCCCCGGUAAACGGCGGCCGUAACUAUAACGGUCCUAAGGUAGCGAAAUUCCUUGUCGGGUAAGUUCCGACCUGCACGAAUGGCGUAAUGAUGGCCAGGCUGUCUCCACCCGAGACUCAGUGAAAUUGAACUCGCUGUGAAGAUGCAGUGUACCCGCGGCAAGACGGAAAGACCCCGUGAACCUUUACUAUAGCUUGACACUGAACAUUGAGCCUUGAUGUGUAGGAUAGGUGGGAGGCUUUGAAGUGUGGACGCCAGUCUGCAUGGAGCCGACCUUGAAAUACCACCCUUUAAUGUUUGAUGUUCUAACGUGGACCCGUAAUCCGGGUUGCGGACAGUGUCUGGUGGGUAGUUUGACUGGGGCGGUCUCCUCCUAAAGAGUAACGGAGGAGCACGAAGGUUGGCUAAUCCUGGUCGGACAUCAGGAGGUUAGUGCAAUGGCAUAAGCCAGCUUGACUGCGAGCGUGACGGCGCGAGCAGGUGCGAAAGCAGGUCAUAGUGAUCCGGUGGUUCUGAAUGGAAGGGCCAUCGCUCAACGGAUAAAAGGUACUCCGGGGAUAACAGGCUGAUACCGCCCAAGAGUUCAUAUCGACGGCGGUGUUUGGCACCUCGAUGUCGGCUCAUCACAUCCUGGGGCUGAAGUAGGUCCCAAGGGUAUGGCUGUUCGCCAUUUAAAGUGGUACGCGAGCUGGGUUUAGAACGUCGUGAGACAGUUCGGUCCCUAUCUGCCGUGGGCGCUGGAGAACUGAGGGGGGCUGCUCCUAGUACGAGAGGACCGGAGUGGACGCAUCACUGGUGUUCGGGUUGUCAUGCCAAUGGCACUGCCCGGUAGCUAAAUGCGGAAGAGAUAAGUGCUGAAAGCAUCUAAGCACGAAACUUGCCCCGAGAUGAGUUCUCCCUGAGACUUAGAGUCUCCUGAAGGAACGUUGAAGACGACGACGUUGAUAGGCCGGGUGUGUAAGCGCAGCGAUGCGUUGAGCUAACCGGUACUAAUGAACCGUGAGGCUUAACCUU
rnacentral:rRNA from 1 species